rnacentral:lncRNA from 1 species
GAAGACACUUUGGGAGGUAUCCCUUCCAGCAGUCUGCCAAGCUUUCUCUUGCGCCUCUUUUCUCUUUUGUUCUUCAUUUCUCCUGAUCAGUUCAUGAUCUAUGAGGGCUCCUGCGGGCGGUAUGUCGAGUUCACACUGGCAUUGGCACUUACUGCAUAACACCCUUCCUUUGAAUAUGGCAGCUUUUGGAUAUUCAGGCAAGUUAACCCCCCCUUUAUGGGUUUGUCAACCAGUCUUCUUUAUUCUUCUCUUGUGACCUUCUCUUUUCCCUUCUCCGCCCAGGCCAUACUGAUCAUAUUUAUAGGGGCCUCUGAGAAGGGAUCCGUAUGUUUAUCUGUCACCGCAGCUUCUUCUAGUCAAUUGGUUUUAAGCCCCCUCUUCUCCCUAUCAUCUUUCUCCCCAAGAUAAGGUAAAGACAUAGGGAUAGGUGGUCUUAGCACCGGAUCAUCUUCUUUUCUGGAGCCUGCAGAAGCGUUCUCCAGUCUUUGUAGCAUGUGCAACAAAGCAGUUUGGAAAUCUUCUGAUCCUUUUGACAUAUAUUGCUUUGAUCAAUGGAUCCCACCGAGCGUGCCAAAAC